CACACACACACACACACACACACACACACACACAAUGUGUACACAAGAGCACACACAUGUGCACACCAGAGUGUAUUGGGAUCACUGAUUUGAUUUUUUUUCCCCAUUUGUUUUAAACUUGUCUUUAUUGUUGCUGCUGCUGCUCAAAUCCAGACUGUCUAGGGCAUGGUCGCCGGGGAAAAGAUGAUUUGUCGUAGUGCAGUGAUAUGGAAAUAAUAGAGUAACCCUGUGUGAACGCCCUCCUAAAAGGGGCUGUGGCAAAGGAGAUAAAAAUUAACAAGGCUUUCUGUUUUGCUAAGUGACGGUUUAAUCUUUGUUGAUUUGCCUGAUGAGAAAACUUAGUAACUUCAAGGUCGUUCAUCUGAAGCCCAGUGUUCGGUGUUGAAAUAUCUGAGGAGACCUGCUCGUUCUUAACAUAUUCUGUGAGGAAGAGGACAUCCCUUCAGUUUGGGGAGAAGAAAACCCCCAAACUCCUCUGCAAACCCUUGUGCCUGACUUCUCUUUCAACAAAUACAUAUUAGAGACCUUACUGUGUGGCCAGGCACUCGCUAAUACAGGGAAGGAAGGCCCUUUUAGCUAAGACUGGAGCCUGUUCCGUUGAAUAUCCUCUACUUCUUUGCGAUGGAGAAAUCCCAGAUUAUAGGGUACAACCUGGUGGACACACUUCCUUUUGAAAAGGGGUCAGCUGGUAACUGGGUAGGCUUUAGGAGUCAGACAUUCUGUCUCAGCUUUUCAGUUCCAUUAUUGUAGUUACAAAAGCAGCCACAGAUAUUAAACGUGUUUACCACAUUAACAGACAGAGGACAAAAUUUGGUCUGCAGAAUGUAGUUUCCCAAUCACAAAGAUUGGGCUGAUAGAAGAAGAAGAGAAGCCAUAUUGCAGCUAUUUCUCAUUGAGUUGAGUUUUUGUUUCUGUACUUUGAGAGCACACACACUCGAGCACAUACACAUGUAUAUAUGCAUGCAUGUAUGUAUAUAUGUGUAUAUGUGUGCUACCUAUGCAUACAUAUGAGGUCACUUGGUUGAUCAGCGGUUAUAGUGAUUUGAAGAACACACACUGGCCUCUGUGACUCCGGAACUGUACCUUUGAGGUGAGGGCCAGAAUGAAAGGGAGGCCAUGGGCCGGGGAGACCUGUCUUCUGGUUUGUGGUUUGCUCAGUUGCCUAGAGUAGGAGCUGGCCACCUGGCCGAACCAUCACGGGAGAGCUCCAGGUAUAAGGCUAUCGAUGGAAUUAGCCAGUUCCUCUUUAGCAUGCCGUGUUUAGACGCAGCGUGACGCAGCGUGACGCAGGACUUCCAAUGUUCCUUUUCAGCAGUGGACUUCUUUCUUCCCACCCGUGUCUGUGUAGAAUUAUAAAACAAGCUCUUUUACCCUAGAGCUGUUAGUAAUUGCUAUUCUCUUUCUAUUACUGAGAACAGGCUGUUUUAGAUUAGCACGGAAACUGAACUAGGUUGUAGAGACUGGGUCUGGAAAUGCAGCUCACUGGUUCUGUGCUUACCCAGCAUUCGUGAGUUCAAUACCCAGUGCUGGAAACAACAAACAAACAAACAGAACCAAAACCGGGCAAGGCUCAGUGUUGGAGCAUUUGCCACCUGGUAAGCUGUGGAGACUUGAUACCAGAAGGUUCAUAUUCUAGGUGAUUCGGUUCAGCAGUUUGUUCUUUUAGUUUUGGUGUGGUUACUAAGG
rnacentral:lncRNA from 1 species